GGGACAACAGUUCUCUCCUCCUGUCUACCCCCUCUCGCGCUCUAAUCUCUGCUCUCUUCUGUAUUCUGCUCCCUCUGGCAUGGCUGUAGUGUCAGCACUCGCAAGCAAAACUACAUGAUGAACUUUGCCAGACAGACCGGCCCGCGCCACUAUUACAGCCGAAAGAGGCGGGCACUGCGACUGCGCGCCUGAACCUGUGCUGUGACGGGAUUCGCCCAUUGACCUGCCAAUCACCGCAACCCAUGCACACCCUUGUUACUCCUGACAACACAUGUUUGCCCUGCUGAGUCCCAUCCACCACCUCCUUGUCUGUGGACUCCAGUCAGCUUUACCUCUUCACAAACCUCCUCUGGCACUAAAGCAGGCUAUAUUCAACCAGUUUACACACCAGCCGUUCUCAAGCACACGGGUCGGAGGAAGAGCAAAUCAGAAGAAAGGAGUCGAGCAGCCAUUUUGUUUAUUCUUUCUCCAUGGAUGGUCAGGGUUUCUUGUUGUUUUCUGAGUGUUGCAAUGUACAAACAUCCCUUGGCGGUUUUUCCUUCUCCGGCUUACCCCAACUCUUUCCCCCUUGUUCCAAUCAUAUCCUCCAACCACACUGUGAAUUUCAAAAGUAUUAUCACUGCUGAACUUUAACCAGCCAAUAGGAGAGCUCCCAUCUCCACUGAGCCGGUAAGGGAGAGGACCACUCCACUGCCAAAACCAUAACCGUCCAUGAAGUGAAGAAAUGGCGAUACAAAAAAUAUAAAAAUGAUUUCUGUGUUGUUGGUGUUUUGUGUGUCUGUGGGUUAUUUACGUGCUGAGUUGACUGUGCUGUUCUUUGUUUGUUUUCUACUAAUUCAUAUGUUUUUAUGAAGGGAAGGGUUGUGGGGCUACUGGGGUAAGUUUCCUUCAGAGCUGGAGCAAUUGGAUGUAGGCAAUGGUGGUACAAGCCCCACCUCCUUGACAAGAAGGAACGGGAGAAUGAUUUGCACGACAUGGGAAGAUGAAAAAUUUGAAGAAAAAAAAAAGACUGACAAAUGUUUGUUUUUUAUCAUUUUUUAUAUAUGUUGGCUCCUGAGAAUACAGAUAUUUAUGGUAAAUGGUUCUUCACGUGACCUAUUUAAAAUGCACUGUGCGUGAAAUCUGUAUGUUUUUUCUAGUGUUAAGUUAUUAGGCGGUCGAGUCCGGCUCUCAGACUGCACCAUGUCCCCUCUCCCCUCGACUUCUCUUGUGAUGUUGGCCCCAAACCCCAAAGCCCUUGAUCUCUCUGCUGAUUUCUGAAACCUGGAGGUGAGGCUCCAUUAGUGUUGUUUUUUGAAGUCUGUGUAAUAUGGACCCUCUACCCUCAGUGUUACUCCAGUAUAGCAAUCUCCUGUAUAUAUAUGUAUAUCCACUAUGGGGAGACCCAACAGCCUUAUAAAAGGGAAAUAAAGACCUGUCCAAAC
ensembl:lncRNA